AGAUCAUUUUGUUAGAAACAUUGUAUAAAAGACGGAAAAUAUGAUGAUAAUAAUGAAACAAACUAGACUAUAAGUUUGGUCGAUGAAGCUCUCUUUCCACAUAAUUUUAUUCCUCCAUUUGUGUUCUUGGAUUGACGUAAAAGCAUCUCAAAUCCACUAUAUAUUGACAUCAACAAACGUACAAAGUUCUGAUAAAAGGGAGGCAUACUUUCAGCUUGCUUGUUAUGUUAUAUAUGUAGUAUUUCUCUCUAAACUCCAUCUAUUUAUAAGUUGGAAAUAUGUACCUCUAGAUGAAAGAUCAAAGGCCUCAAGAAGAAGAAAGAUCAAAGGCCUCGGCUUCAAUGUGUACGACAAUUUUUCGGUACACGUAAAUUCAAUUACUACUUUAUAUGUUAAGUGCAACUCGACAUGUUAUUAAGUGCUAAAGUGCGUGUCUUUCCCUCUAUACUAUUCAAGAUGUCCAUUUUCUAUAUUUAGAAAUAAAUCUCCUUCUCUCCUCUAUCCUCAUUUAAAUAUUCAACUACUUUUUUUCUCAACUUACUCCACCUAAUAACUCUUUCUAAAAUCUCGUGCCAUUCAAGAAGGUGGGGAAUUGUUUUUACCAAUAAAAUUAGAUUUGUGUAUAAUAACUCAUGUUAAUUGAUAUUUUAAUCUAGCUUCGUUUUUCGAUCAUUUAAUAAUAUUCCCACCUUUAAGUUUUAUUGCAAUCAAACGAUGAGAGUAACCUGAUGUGAUAUUAAAAGAUCGAUCGACUCAUUUUUGAUAAUUGAAUGGAAAGUACAUAGUAGUUCUCACUUCUCAUGUGCAACAAUAAUUAUAAUUUCUUUUUUGUUUGUUCUUUUUCCUUCGUGUUUUUUGAGUUAGGGAAUUAAAUGUGUUCCUAAAAAAUUAAAUGACUUUGGGUUACAAAAGGUAUAUAUGAAAGAUCAAAUCUAAGUCGGGUAGCAAAUAAAGAUUUAGUGAUUUAACCCAUUUUGGCAUAGAUUAAGUGUAUGUGACAAAUCAAUUAAUUAUCCAUUUUUGGUGGGAACCAAGUCAUGUUCUUGUCUAAUCAGAUUGGUUCAUCCACCUAUUAGUUUUAAAAUGUUAUUGUUAUUAUUGUUAGAAUAGGUUUUGGGGAAUAUUGUAUCUCUCAUUCUUAUUGAAACGAAUACACAUUUACAUGCCUCUUUAUAGGCUCAAGAAUACAACUUAAGGUAAGUUUAUUACCCUAACUAAUCUUCUAUACAAGGAGAAAAUUAAUUACUAAUUUUCCACUUAUUGUGAUUGCAGGGAAUCAGCCUCUUGAUUCUCCGUGAUCUUUCCUUCCAACACUCCCCCUCAAGUUAAGUGAUGAGAUCACCAAUACUUAACUUGUCCAAUACACCUCGAAAAGAGUGCGAACUUACUGCCUUUGUCAAGAUGUCCGCCAGUUGAUCUUCUGACUUGACAUGGGGUCAUACACGAGGUAGAGGUCAGCCUCACUCUCGUAUGUGACGGCUAGGAUGUCCCAUAUUGCAUUGGCCGAUUGAUGAUGGGUGAAAUCUGCAAUAAUAUAAUGUUCGAUAUUAUCCACAAUCCACGAGAAGACAAUUAGAUCCGUCUCUUCCCAAUCGCCAUACUCCUUGCUUUCCGACAGUGGUGGAGCCUGUUUUCCGGUUAUGUGGGAGUAGCCUCCCCUACUCCCUAUUGCAACCUUCAUCAGCCGCGACCAUAGUGGGUAAUUUCCUCCGUUGAGUUUGAACUCAAUAGUGACGUUCUUACUCGCUCGUAUUUUACUGCCUGAUGAUUCUGAUUCUGUUGGUUUCUCGUCGUCUGACAUUUUGGGUAUUGAUUUGAAUUUGUUUGCUCACUGGGUUUUUGUUGAUUUGGCCGAGAUUGGUAUGGGUUGGGCGGUGAUGAACGAAAAAAUCUGAGCCCUAGUUUAAAUCCUGCUCUGAUACCAUGUUAGAACAGGUUUUGGGGAAUAUUGUAUCUCUCAUUCUCAUUGAAACGAAUACACAUUUACAUGCCUCUUUAUAGGCUCAAGAAUACAACUUAAGGAAAUCAGCCUCUUGAUUCUCCGUGAUCUUUCCUUCCAAUAAUUAUUUCCAAAUGUAUUUCAAGGCAUACAACCUUUUAUGUCCAUCCUAACUAAUAUUGAAAAUUAAGAAGAAAAAAAAUCAUACUGUACUAUAUUUUAUCAUGGUUUCUCUUAAAUAUUUCACAUAAUUAGAGAGGGAGUAUCUAGUACGAAGAUCAUCCAAAAAUGACAAAAAAAAGAAGAAAGAACAAAAUCAAUAGAAAUCCAAACUCAA